rnacentral:rRNA from 1 species
AAUACAUCGGAACGUGCCCAAUCGUGGGGGAUAACGUAGCGAAAGCUACGCUAAUACCGCAUACGAUCUACGGAUGAAAGCGGGGGAUCGCAAGACCUCGCGCGAAUGGAGCGGCCGAUGGCAGAUUAGGUAGUUGGUGGGGUAAAGGCUCACCAAGCCAACGAUCUGUAGCUGGUCUGAGAGGACGACCAGCCACACUGGGACUGAGACACGGCCCAGACUCCUACGGGAGGCAGCAGUGGGGAAUUUUGGACAAUGGGCGCAAGCCCGAUCCAGCCAUGCCGCGUGCAGGAUGAAGGCCUUCGGGUUGUAAACUGCUUUUGUACGGAACGAAAAGACUCUGGUUAAUACCUGGGGUCCAUGACGGUACCGUAAGAAUAAGCACCGGCUAACUACGUGCCAGCAGCCGCGGUAAUACAGAGGGUGCGAGCGUUAAUCGGAUUUACUGGGCGUAAAGCGUGCGUAGGCGGCUUUUUAAGUCGGAUGUGAAAUCCCUGAGCUUAACUUAGGAAUUGCAUUCGAUACUGGGAAGCUAGAGUAUGGGAGAGGAUGGUAGAAUUCCAGGUGUAGCGGUGAAAUGCGUAGAGAUCUGGAGG